AUUGAACGCUGGCGGCAGGCUUAACACAUGCAAGUCGAGCGAGCGGCGGACGGGUGAGUAAUGUCUGGGAAACUGCCUGAUGGAGGGGGAUAACUACUGGAAACGGUAGCUAAUACCGCAUACCAUCAGAUGUGCCCAGAUGGGAUUAGCUAGUAGGGGGGGUAAUGGCUCCCCUAGGCGAAGAUCCCUAGCUGGUCUGAGAGGAUGACCGUCAACACUGGAACUGAGACACGGUCCAGACUCCUACGGUAGGCAGCAGUAGGGAAUAUUGCACAAUGGGCGCAAGCCUGAUGCAGCCAUGCCGAGUAUGUGAAGCAGGCCUUCGAGUUGUAAAGCACUGUCAGCGAGGAGGCGUUACUCGCAGAAGAAGCAACGGCUAACUACGUGCCAGCAGCCGCGGUAAUUC
rnacentral:rRNA from 1 species